rnacentral:rRNA from 1 species
CCUACGGGGAGCAGCAGUAGGGAAUAUUGCUCAAUGGGGGAAACCCUGAAGCAGCAACGCCGCGUGGAGGAUGAAGGUUUUAGGAUUGUAAACUCCUUUUGUUAGAGAAGAUAAUGACGGUAUCUAACGAAUAAGCACCGGCUAACUCCGUGCCAGCAGCCGCGGUAAUACGGAGGGUGCAAGCGUUACUCGGAAUCACUGGGCGGAAAGAGCGCGUAGGCGGGAUAGCAAGUCAGAUGUGAAAUCCUAUGGCUUAACCAUAGAACUGCAUUUGAAACUGUUAUUCUAGAGUAUGGGAGAGGUAGGUGGAAUUCUUGGUGUAGGGGUAAAAUCCGUAGAGAUCAAGAGGAAUACUCAUUGCGAAGGCGACCUGCUAGAACAUAACUGACGCUGAUGCGCGAAAGCGUGGGGAGCAAACAGGAUUAGAUACCCCGGUAGUC